UACGGGGGGGGCAAGCGUUGUUCGGAAUUACUGGGCGUAAAGGGCUCGUAGGCGGCCAACUAAGUCAGACGUGAAAUCCCUCGGCUUAACCGGGGAACUGCGUCUGAUACUGGAUGGCUUGAGUUUGGGAGAGGGAUGCGGAAUUCCAGGUGUAGCGGUGAAAUGCGUAGAUAUCGGGAGGAACACCGGUGGCGAAGGCGGCCCCCUGGUUGGAUACUGACGCUGAGACGCGAAAGCGUGGGGAGCAAACAGG
rnacentral:rRNA from 1 species